rnacentral:siRNA from 1 species
UGGUGAUACCUGAGAAUUUGC